UACGUAGGGUGCAAGCGUUGUCCGGAAUUAUUGGGCGUAAAGAGCUCGUAGGUGGCCUGUCGCGUCGGCUGUGAAAACUCGGGGCUCAACUCCGAGCUUGCAGUCGAUACGGGCAGGCUAGAGUUCGGCAGGGGAGACUGGAAUUCCUGGUGUAGCGGUGAAAUGCGCAGAUAUCAGGAGGAACACCGGUGGCGAAGGCGGGUCUCUGGGCCGAUACUGACACUGAGGAGCGAAAGCAUGGGUAGCGAACAGG
rnacentral:rRNA from 1 species